AUGGCGGCGACUGUGUCAAGCUACGACACGAGCGAAGAUGAACAAAAGAUAAGAAAACCGCAUUCGAAAUUUAGUCAAAAGGCAUCGAAAUGAUGCUAUAUAGAUCUCUCAACUGUCCAAGGGCGAAAAAGGGCAGGAAUUUGGAAAAAACGUGCAGAGCCCACGUGGUUGCGUCAGACAAUGGCUUUCUCCCCAGGCUCCGUCGAAGGAUCUUGCUGAAAAUGCGUCGACUGGGAUUUUUAACGAUAUUAACUACAGGCACCGUCGAAGGAUCUUGCUGAAAAUGCGUCGAGUGGGAUUUUUAACGACAUUGACUACAGCAAACUCCAAGGACAAAGCGCUUUGUCCUAAAACAAGUACAACCAGCCCGGGCAGCAAAGUUGAUAGCGGGCGUCCCAAUCCGCGCACGAACCUAAGCCGCCCAAAACCGGCCACAGCGGGGGCGGCCCAAAAGCAACGCCCAGAAAUGCCUUCGACAAGACCCACGUCAGCAAAGACUUCAAAAAGACUGGACACUGAGAUAAGACAGAUUUUCUUCUGCUCGGAAACAUGUAGCCUUGUUUUGGAUCCAGAAUUGUCCCUCCGUCGUCUGUUUUUGCCUUGUUUUUUACCAUUGUCGACGAAUAAAUUGUCAACCUGUUUUCGGCGAGUGUUCUUCAAGCUUUUGAAACAUGGAGUCAGUGUGCAAAGGGUUAACACAGGAACGCGCGGAGUUUGGCUUCCUCCUGGCCUGGCUCUUCGGGGGCGUCCAGCGGCGGAGCACAUUUCCGUUCUGUUGCCGGCCUCCCCGUGGGGUUUGGGCUGGGAGGACUAAAUUCCUUCACUUGCAAUGUGAGUUCUGGGCUG